rnacentral:lncRNA from 1 species
ACCACUCCUAAUGUGCCUCCCCUCAUCAUACAAACUGUCUUCCUCAUUUGUAACAAAUGUGUUUUUCAAAUAUAGAUUUGAUCAUAACACCAGCAACUCCCAGGUGACUCAAGCCUACCAGGACCCAGACGACCAAAUGGCACUGCAAUAUCUGGCUGCUGCUUUUAUUAUGGACUUCUCUCACUCCGUCUACCACUUGCUUUCUGAGAUAGCUUCUUUAGAUCUCACUGGAAUCCUCAUUGUUCAGGACGCUUGCCCUCGAAGUUCAGGCAGCCUUUGUUGACCUGGAGUGCUGUUCGACGAGCUGCUCUGAACCUAGGUAAUGAUGUCCCGACUACAGCACCCUUAAUAAAUGGCGAUCGAU